rnacentral:rRNA from 1 species
UACGAAGGUCCCAAGCGUUAUCCGGAUUUAUUGGGUUUAAAGGGUGCGUAGGCGGGUUAUUAAGUCAGUGGUGAAAGCUCCAUGCCUAACAUGGAAAUUGCCAUUGAUACUGAUGAUCUUGAGUACACUUGAAGUGGGCGGAAUGUGUCAUGUAGCGGUGAAAUGCUUAGAUAUGACACAGAACACCGAUUGCGUAGGCAGCUCACUAAACUGUAACUGACGCUGAGGCACGAAAGCAUGGGGAGCAAACAGG